rnacentral:rRNA from 1 species
AUGCGCAGUCCUGGCCAGUUGGGCCGUCGGGUGUCGUUGUUGGAGAUGGACAAGAAGCUUGCUUCAUGCAUCAACAAUGAUGCCAGCAUAGAGAUUUGGGUGAUGCAAGACUAUGAGGCUGAGGUCUGGGCCUUGAAGUACCGGAUUAACUUGUUGAAUACAUCACCACAGUUCAAGUUUAUUUCUAAGAUGGCACUGCUUAACCAGCAUGAGCUGCUGAUCUGUUGUCACACUCCAUCGGCGGGUCCUGAUUAUCUGUUGCAUUGUGACACUGACGGAAAGUUUUUGGGAUAUUACGAGAUGAAAGAGGGAACAUAUUCAACAUACUUCACAAAUCAGUACUUUCAAGAGAGCAUGAUUCCACUUCCGUUCUGUGAGAUGCAAGAAGAAGGUGGUUUGGAUAAGGAGCCUCCAUUCUUCAUAGGGCUAUAA